rnacentral:piRNA from 1 species
UCCACGGGGAAUUACUGGCAACGUCUGC